CCUACGGGAGGCAGCAGUAGGGAAUUUUCGUCAAUGGGGGGAACCCUGACCGAGCAACGCCGCGUGCACGAAGAAGUUAUUCGUAAUUUAAAGUUCUUUUAACAGGGAAGAAAGCGAAAUUUGACGGUACCUGAAGAAUAAGCUCCGUCUAACUACGUACCAGCAGCCGCGGUAAUACGUAGGCAGCGAGCGUCAUCCGGAAUUAUUGGGCGUAAAGGGUGCGUAGAUGGCAUAGUAAGUCUUUUGUAAAAAUGCUGGGCUCAACCCAGUAGGGCAAAAGAUACUGGAAAGCUAGAGUAUGACAGAGGCAAGUGGAACUACAUGUGUAGCGGUAAAAUGCGUAGAUAUAUGUAAGAACACCAGUGGCGAAGGCGGCUUGCUGGGUCGAUACUGACACUGAGGCACGAAAGCGUGGGGAGCAAACAGGAUUAGAUACCCGAGUAGUC
rnacentral:rRNA from 1 species